rnacentral:rRNA from 1 species
UACGAGGGGGGCAAGCGUUGUUCGGAAUUAUUGGGCGUAAAGGGUGCGUAGGCGGUGCGGUAAGUCUGUUGUGAAAUCUCCGGGCUCAACUCGGAGUCUGCAUCAGAAACUGCCGUGCUGGAGUGUGGGAGAGGUGAGUGGAAUUCCCGGUGUAGCGGUGAAAUGCGUAGAGAUCGGGAGGAACACCUGCGGCGAAAGCGGCUCACUGGACCAUAACUGACGCUGAUGCACGAAAGCGUGGGUAGCAAACAGG